rnacentral:tRNA from 1 species
AGUAAUAUAAGCUAAAUAAGCUAUUGGGCCCAUACCUCAAAAAUACUUUCAGUUAUUACUA